AGGAGGUUGUGUUUCUCUGGCUCUAUCCAUCUGGCGUGGAGAGGAGGUCGUGUUUCUCGGACUCUAUCCAUCUGGCGUGGAGAGGAGGUUGUGUUUCUCGGACUCUAUCUGGUUUGCGUGGAGAGGAUGUCGCGUUGCUUUGGCUCUACCUGCUUGGCGUCAAGAGGAGGUUGUGUUGCUCUGGCUCUAUCUAUUUGGCAUGGAGAGGAGGUGGUGUUGCUCUGGCUCUAUCUAUUCGGCGUGGAGAUGAGGUUGUGGUUACGGCGCAAUU